AGGGUGGGAUUGGCCUGAACGGACUUUUAAUCCAUUGGUCGAGAGUUCGAAUCUCUCCGGGCCUACCA
rnacentral:tRNA from 1 species